CAGUCGCCGCGGUAAUGCGUAGGGUGCGAGCGUUAAUCGGAAUUACUGGGCGUAAAGCGUGCGCAGGCGGUUGUGUAAGACAGGUAUGAAAUCCCCGGGCUUAACCUGGGAACUGCGCUUGUGACUGCACAGCCAGAGUAUGGCAGAGGGGGGUGGAAUUCCACGUGUAGCAGUGAAAUGCGUAGAGAUGUGGAGGAACACCGAUGGCGAAGGCAGCCCCCUGGGCCAAUACUGACGCUCAUGCACGAAAGCGUGGGGAGCAAACAGGAUUAGAUACCCCCGUAGUCCCUGUCUCUUAUAA
rnacentral:rRNA from 1 species